GGGCUGCUUGUUGGUGUUGAGGAGGUUGUGGAACUGUGCAGCCACUUCCCAGGACUGUGAUGGAAAACGUGCUUUGGACAGAGCAGUUCUUACUCAGGCACUGGGGCUCCACUGCCUGAUUUAUGUCUGGGAAUCCUCGUCUGGGCUUUUGGAUCAUGAAAACAAAUUUGCUUGAGAGGUUCUGCAGAAGUAGAUGAGGAUGAGCAAUACUGCACCUGUAUGUGCUGGAUAGAAGGAAAGUGGCAACAGAAGAAUAAUAAUUUUUAAGAAUCAGAACAUAUGAGGAUUUUAAGGCUGCAGAGGCUGCAGUGGGACACAGGCCUGUGCUUCACAACCAUCUAGAAACUCAAAAAAGGUGAAAUUGUCUCAAAGCUCAUUUGUGCCUGGACUGCAAGGGCUGAAGUAUCUCUCUGGGCACUGCAGAACUGCUCUGGCCUCAGAGCUCAGCACCCCCCACACCGUGGGGGAGACUCUUGGUUUAGACACAGAACCUGCUUGAUCAUGUGGCUGCUGACAUCCCUUGUCAGCCACAGAGGACUUAAGGAUUUUGAUCACCAAGGCUGUUUGGACUUGGAUGCAAGAGCUCCCAGGGCAAUUGGUGUGUAUGUAGUGGGACUGGUGCCAAAUUGGCUCUCUGCCUGGCAGAGCACUGGGAUGCAGCAGGACCAUGUCUCCAAGCCUGGGAAUGAAGAAGUGUCCCCAGGCUAAGUCAAAUGUCAAAGGCACUUGUUCUGGGGAGGACUGACUGGAAGAACAGAGGUAGGAAUGUGAUCUGCUAACACUUCACCACAUCGGAGAUGUGGUAAUUCUAGGAAAAAAAUGCCAUCAUGGAUGAUUAGGACACUGCUAAAUAUGCAUUUCAAGCAGAAAAUUAAGAAUCCUUCAAAAGACCUUUAAGAUUCUCUAUAAAUUAACAUUUGCAGCAGGUAUUUUAAACUAAUUUUGUUGCCUGUCCCACUGCUCUUUGCCAUUUGAUGCAGUUCCUGCUCAGCCUUGCUUUUUUGCUCUGUUUGGCUUAUCUCUGGCCAAGGCUUUAAUCCCCUAAUAGCAAACUGAGGUCAUAUCAGCACUCAAAUUCUGCUGUGAUGUGCAGCCACUUUAUCAAUGUGAGAAGAGCCUCACUCCCUGACCCUGGGAGCUGCACUACAGGGCUGUACACGUGCCACCAACAUGCAGGUCACACAAAACAGCCAGCACCAGGCACCACCCCUGAGAUUUCCAGCAGAGCAAAUAGACGUGUCCACCUGAAAGAAAGAACAAAGGCUGGAGCUGCUGCUUCACAGGUUUGAGGAUUACUGCUUCUGCUUGAAAGAUAAUUAUAUGUUUUAUAUACAUUAAAUGACUGUACCAACUGAAGAGUAAUUUUAGCAUAGAAAGAAAAAGUAACUUAAAAAACAAUCAAAGGAUAAACAAAAAAGAUGAAUGUUCACAUUUUUAUUAAGCAUCAAACAAAUGAAUAAGCAUGAAUAGUUAAGAAAAACAUAAGUAUGAAUAGUUAAGAAAAAUAUUAGAAAAAACCCUGAGAGAUACAAAGUCUUUACUUUGUCUACCACCAUGGUUUCCUCCAAGUCUGCCAGUUUGACUCUCAACUGACAUCAGGCCUCAAAAGGACUUAUUAAUUUAGGAUGUGAAGUAUUGCUUUCUCUAAAAGCUGAAGAAAAUAUAAAAUCAGAACAGAACUCAAAGGCUUAAAUACUAAAUUUCUUAGUAGUGAGACAGGAAAAAACCAAACCUGAACGAGUGCUCUGGGCAAGUAUUUGAUUUCUUUUUUAAAAUUCUUUUUCAUAAAAUGCAAUACAAUGUUUAAAAAGUACAGAAAUGCUGAUUGGAAGGUCUUCUUCUUUACAAAGAAUAUCUCCAGAAAGAAUUUCAUGGUGCAAUCCAAUUAGCCUUUCUGUAGCUGCAAAAUGCUUCACAAAACCAGCUCCCUAAGUUCAUGUGUAUUGAGCAGUUCAAGUGAAAAUCUGUCAGUGGAACUGAAUUAAAACCAUAGAGCCAAGGUCUCUCCUAGUAUAAAUCAUGUACAUUGCUAUAAUAAAACAACAUACAACAGAAGCAAUUCUUCACACCACUGAGUUUUUGGCAUGGGAGUUGGUCCCAGAAUCCAAGUCUUACUCUUCCAGCUUCCAUAUUUCAUAAUGUGUCAGAAAACCUAAACUACAAUA